GUGUCAGCCGCCGCGGUAAUACAGAGGUCUCAAGCGUUGUUCGGAUUCAUUGGGCGUAAAGGGAGCGUAGGUGGCGCCGUAAGUCAGGUGUGAAAUCCCGGGGCUCAACCCCGGAACUGCACUUGAUACUGCGGUGCUCGAGUACUGGAGAGGAGAUCGGAAUUUACGGUGUAGCAGUGAAAUGCGUAGAUAUCGUAAGGAAGACCAGUGGCGAAGGCGGAUCUCUGGACAGUUACUGACACUGAGGCUCGAAGGCCAGGGGAGCAAACGGGAUUAGAUACCCGGGUAGUCC
rnacentral:rRNA from 1 species